rnacentral:rRNA from 1 species
UACGAAGGGGGCUAGCGUUGUUCGGAAUUAUUGGGCGUAAAGAGCUCGUAGGCGGUCUGUCGCGUCGGCUGUGAAAACUCGGGGCUCAACCCCGAGCCUGCAGCCGAUACGGGCAGACUAGAGUUCGGUAGGGGAGACUGGAAUUCCUGGUGUAGCGGUGAAAUGCGCAGAUAUCAGGAGGAACACCGGUGGCGAAGGCGGGUCUCUGGGCCGAUACUGACGCUGAGGAGCGAAAGCGUGGGGAGCGAACAGG